CUUUAAAAAUCUGGAUCAAGCUGAAAAUUGAAACGACACACAGUCAAUGUGUGUUCGAGUAUCUCAAAUUUUCGCAAUCAGAAGUGAAACAUCUUCGG
rnacentral:sRNA from 1 species